rnacentral:rRNA from 1 species
CAACUUUCAACAACGGAUCUCUUGGCUCUCGCAUCGAUGAAAAACGCAACGAAAUGCGAGAAGUAAUGUGAAUUGCAAAAUUCAGUGAAUCAUCGAAUCUUUGAACGCACCCUGCGCCUCUUGGUAUUCCGAGGGGCACGCCUGUUUGAGUAUCGUGA